GCGCUGCCGUACGGGCGCAGCCAACCAGCAAGCGGCAUUCUCCUUACGCGGAUUGAGGGCGCGGCCAUUUUGGGGUGGGAAUUUUGGAGCUGGCUACUCACACCUUGGCGUUGCCACCGAGGCAGUUCUGGAGCAGGAAGGGCGGUGAUGACGAGCCCCAGGGCGCUGAGGCUGGAAUUGAUGGAUUGGGUUUCCCGGAGCCGAUCCCCGACUGAUCCCGACUUUUCCAGCCGCUCCGAGCCCGCCAGGUCCACCAGGGUCAGGGUGGCUGGGAAUGGG